UACAGAGGGUGCAAGCGUUAAUCGGAAUUACUGGGCGUAAAGCGUGCGUAGACGGUUAUUUAAGUCAGGUGUGAAAGCCCCGGGCUCAACCUGGGAAUUGCAUUUGAGACUGAAUAGCUAGGGUGCGGAAGAGGGAAGCGGAAUUUCCGGUGUAGCGGUGAAAUGCGUAGAGAUCAGGAAGAACACCGGUGGCGAAAGCGCUCUGCUGGACCUUAACUGACACUGAGGGACGAAAGCUAGGGGAGCGAAUGGG
rnacentral:rRNA from 1 species